rnacentral:rRNA from 1 species
CCUACGGGUGGCUGCAGUGAGGAAUAUUGGUCAAUGGGCGGGAGCCUGAACCAGCCAAGCCGCGUGAGGGAAGAAUGUACAGCGUAUUGUAAACCUCUUUUGUCAGGGAACAAAGGCGGGGACUAGUCCCCGGUUGAGGGUACCUGAAGAAAAAGCAUCGGCUAACUCCGUGCCAGCAGCCGCGGUAAUACGGAGGAUGCGAGCGUUAUCCGGAUUUAUUGGGUUUAAAGGGUGCGCAGGCGGCCUGUUAAGUCAGCGGUAAAAGCGCGGAGCUCAACCCCGUCGAGCCGUUGAAACUGACGGUCUUGAGUUGGAGAGAAGUACGCGGAAUGCGCGGUGUAGCGGUGAAAUGCUUAGAUAUCGCGCAGAACCCCGAUUGCGAAGGCAGCGUACCGGCUCCACACUGACGCUGAGGCACGAAAGCGUGGGUAUCGAACAGGAUUAGAUACCCGAGUAGUC